rnacentral:rRNA from 1 species
GACGAACGCUGGCGGCGUGCUUAACACAUGCGAGUCGAACGGAAAGGCCCUGCUUUUGUGGGGUGCUCGAGUGGCGAACGGGUGAGUAACACGUGAGUAACCUGCCCUUGACUUUGGGAUAACUUCAGGAAACUGGGGCUAAUACCGGAUAGGAGCUCCUGCUGCAUGGUGGGGGUUGGAAAGUUUCGGCGGUUGGGGAUGGACUCGCGGCUUAUCAGCUUGUUGGUGGGGUAGUGGCUUACCAAGGCUUUGACGGGUAGCCGGCCUGAGAGGGUGACCGGCCACAUUGGGACUGAGAUACGGCCCAGACUCCUACGGGGGGCAGCAGUGGGGAACAUUGCACAAUGGGCGGAAGCCUGAUGCAGCAACGCCGCGUGCGGGAUGACGGCCUUCGGGUUGUAAACCGCUUUCGCCUGUGACGAAGCGUGAGUGACGGUAAUGGGUAAAGAAGCACCGGCUAACUACGUG